AUUGAACGCUGGCGGCAUGCUUUACACAUGCAAGUCGAACGGCAGCAUGGGUGCUUGCACCUGAUGGCGAGUGGCGAACGGGUGAGUAAUAUAUCGGAACGUACCCGGAAAUGGGGGAUAACGUAGCGAAAGUUACGCUAAUACCGCAUAUGCCCUGAGGGGGAAAGUGGGGGACCCGCAAGGACCUCACGUUUUCGGAGCGGCCGAUAUCAGAUUAGCUAGUUGGUGAGGUAAAGGCUCACCAAGGCGACGAUCUGUAGCUGGUCUGAGAGGACGACCAGCCACACUGGGACUGAGACACGGCCCAGGCUCCUACGGGAGGCAGCAGUGGGGAAUUUUGGACAAUGGGGGCAACCCUGAUCCAGCCAUGCCGCGUGAGUGAAGAAGGCCUUCGGGUUGUAAAGCUCUUUCGGACAGAGAGAAAUCGCACAGGAUAAUACCUUGUGUGGAUGGCGGUACUGUAAGAAGAAGCACCGGCUAACUACGUGCCAGCCGCCGCGGUAA
rnacentral:rRNA from 1 species